rnacentral:rRNA from 1 species
AACGAACGCUGGCGGCAGGUCUUAGGCAUGCAAGUCGAACGGGUGUAGUAAUACACCAGUGGCGAACGAGUGAGUAACGCGUGGGAAUCUGCACAUCUCUGGGGAAUAACGUUUGGAAACGAACGCUAAUACCGCAUACGCCCGCAAGGGGAAAGAUUUAUCGGAGAUGGAUGAGCCCGCGUUGGAUUAGGUAGUUGGUGGGGUAACGGCCGACCAAGGCGAUGAUCCAUAGCUGGUCUGAGAGGACGAUCAGCCACGCUAGAACUGAGAUACGGUCCAGACUCAUACGGGAGGCAGCAGCUAAGAAUAUUGGGCAAUGGAAGAAACUCUGACCCAGCCAUGCCGCGUGAAUGAAGAAGGCCUUCGGGUUAUAAAGUUCUUUUAGUCGUGACGAUGAUGACGGUAGCGACAGAAAAAGCACCGGCUAACUUCGUGCCAGCCGCCGCCGUAA